rnacentral:rRNA from 1 species
AAUGAACGCUGGCGGCAGGCCUAACACAUGCAAGUCGAACGGGACCUUCGGGUCUAGUGGCGGACGGGUGAGUAACGCGUGGGAACGUGCCCUUUUCUACGGAAUAGCCUCGGGAAACUGGGGGUAAUACCGUAUAAGCUCGAGAGAGGAAAGAUUUAUCGGGAAAGGAUCGGCCCGCGUUGGAUUAGGUAGUUGGUGGGGUAAUGGCCUACCAAGCCGACGAUCCAUAGCUGGUUUGAGAGGAUGAUCAGCCACACUGGGACUGAGACACGGCCCAGACUCCUACGGGAGGCAGCAGUGGGGAAUCUUAGACAAUGGGGGAAACCCUGAUCUAGCCAUGCCGCGUGAUCGAUGAAGGCCUUAGGGUUGUAAAGAUCUUUCAGAUGGGAAGAUAAUGACGGUACCAUCAGAAGAAGCCCCGGCUAACUCCGUGCCAGCCGCCGCGGUAA